rnacentral:rRNA from 1 species
CCUACGGGAGGCAGCAGUAGGGAAUAUUGCUCAAUGGGGGAAACCCUGAAGCAGCAACGCCGCGUGGAGGAUGAAGGUUUUCGGAUUGUAAACUCCUUUUGUUAGAGAAGAUAAUGACGGUAUCUAACGAAUAAGCACCGGCUAACUCCGUGCCAGCAGCCGCGGUAAUACGGAGGGUGCAAGCGUUACUCGGAAUCACUGGGCGUAAAGAGCGCGUAGGCGGGAUAGCAAGUCAGAUGUGAAAUCCCAUGGCUUAACCAUAGAACUGCAUUUGAAACUGUUAUUCUAGAGUAUGGGAGAGGGAGGUGGAAUUCCUGGUGUAGGGGGAAAAGUCGUAGAGAACAAGAGGAAUACUCAGUGGGAAGGGGGCCUGGUAGGA